GCCGGGCGUGGUGGUGCACGCCUGUAAUCCCGGCUACUUGGGAGGCUGAAACAGGAGAAUCGCUUGAACCUGGGAGGCGGAGGUUGCAGUGAGUCGCGAUUUCGACACUGCACUCCAGCCUGGGCAACAGAGUGAGAUUCUGUGUCAA
rnacentral:SRP_RNA from 1 species